UUAAACAUAUUCGUCCGCUUAUUGGCCAAACAGCUUGCUCAGAUGAGGUCUGUCUCCAAAUCUUGGAAUACACUUUUAUCCCAUCCUUCCUUUGUAAAAUCCCACCUCCAUCGUUCCAUGCAUAACAACAAUGAACAAAUUUUCUUGAUCUUCUAUGGUCUCUUCAAACCCUUCAAACAAUACUCCUCUCAAUCUUCAAUCUUCCCAUCUAGAACCCACUAAUGUCAUCAAACACACCCCAAGUAAUCUCCCGACACUACUGGAAAAUUGGCUAUAGAGUACACCCCCAUCUAAUACGGUUGUAAAAAUACCCGUAUUAUAAAGGGAUAAAUAAAUAUAAUACACACAAUUGCAGCAUCUAAUACGGUUAAUUGGAGCAUCUAAUACGGUUAAUGAGAUGUACUAGAAACAAAAUCAAAUAACUAAAAAUAUGCCCCCAUUUUGAUUAAGUACGGCUAACACCUAAAUUGAAUACGGCUAAUACCUAAAUUGAAUACGCCUCCUCCUCUUCCUCCUCACAUACUUAGCUUCCUCCUCCCACACUAAUCGGUCCUUCAUCUCCAUCUCCCCUGUCGCAACACCAUCAUCAUCGGCCAGCCUCGCCUCGCAUGCCACCUCCAAUAAUUCAACCAACCUGAAAAUCCCACCACCGGACCUGCGGUUUAAAUUUAAAGGAAAAACAAGAGCAAAAAUACAAAUACAAAGGAACUACAACUGUUCACGAAGGACAAGGAAGCGUUUUGGCUUUGAUGGAGAUGCAAAAUCAAAUGAUGUAUCGUGAAACUUGGAUGUAUGGACUACCACGGGCUAGCAGUGAAUAUUUACAUAACGUCAAGAAAUUUCUUAAAGUUGCUGAGGAUCAUCGGGUGCAUAGAGGAGAAUCUUACAUUUGGUGUCCUUGUAAAAUGUUCCGAAAUUGUAAAAAGGUCUAUGAUUUGGAUAUAAUAGAAGAACAUGUGAUAUGUGAAGGAGUUAUGAAUGGAUAUACGUGUUGGUCACAACAUGGCGAGUUAUUGAUUGACCAUAACACAAUUGAUGUUGAAUCUCGUUAUGAUGAUACAGAUGAUUCAGAAGAUGACAUCCAUGAUAACCUAGAUGACAUGUUACAUGAUAUUGAAGAUAAUGUGCCUGAUAGAGAUUAUGAAAAAUUUCAACAGUUGUUUGAAGACGUUGAAAAACCGUUGUAUGACGGUUGCAUGAAAUUUACCAAGCUUUCUGUUGUCCUGACAUUGUUUAACCUAAAAGCAAAUAAUGGUUGGAGUGAUAAAAGUUUCACAAAACUGUUAGGGGUUAUACAUUAAAUGCUCCCUGAAAGUAAUGAGUUACAUGUUUCACUAUACCAAGUGACAAAAAAUAAUGUGUGCAAUGGAUUUGGAAAUCGAAAGAAUACACGUAUGUCCAAAUGAUUGUAUGUUGUAUAGAAAUGAGCAUGCAAAUCUACAUGAAUGUAUUACAUGUGGAAGGUCGCGUUAUUUGUGGAAGAAACAAACAGAAUAGAAUAGUGAUGUGACAAAGAAUGGCCCCCCUACCAAGUUAUUAUGGUAUUUGUCCAUUGUAUCAAGACUGAAACGAUUGUUUGCAAAUGCCAAAGAUGUAGAAUUAUUACGUUGGCAUGCCGAGAAGCGUAAAAGAUAUGGAAAGAUGAGACACGUGGUUGAUGCUCCGCAAUGGAAGAACAUUGAUCAUGAAUUUGAAGAAUUUGGUAAUGAGAUUAGAAAUCUCCAAUUCGGACUUAGUGCAGAUGGAAUUAAUCCGUUCAAACACAUGAGAAGUAGUCACAACACAUGGUCGGUUCUUCUUUGCAUAUACAAUCUUCCACCGUGGUUAUGUAUGAAACGGAAAUACAUCAUGAUGUCAUUGCUAAUUCAAGGUCCGAUACAACCCGGUAACGACAUUGAUGUGUUUUUGGCUCCAUUAAUUGACGACAUGAAAGAAUUAUGGAACUUGGGAGUUGAAUUCUAUGAUGCAUUCAAGAAAGAGUAUUUCCAGCUACAUGCAAUGAUUUAUUGUACUAUAAGUGAUUUUCCAGCUUACACAAAUUUUUCCGGAUAUGGUACAAAAGGAAAGAAGGCGUGUCCAGUUUGUGAAGAGGACACACGGUCGAUGUGGUUGAAAAACUAUAAAAAAAAUGUAUACAUGGGACAUCGACGAUCGCUUCCAAAGAAUCACUUGUAUCGUACCCAGGGAAACUUGUUUGACGGUAAAAUCGAGAAUGAAGAUAUGAAUCUCCCAAUGGAUGGAAAAAUGACAUUUUCCCGAGUUCAAAAUUUAAAUAUUGUUUUUGGAAAACGCAGUAAAAACAAUCAACCGACCAAUUGGAAGAAGAGGUCUACUUUUUGGGAAUUACCAUACUGGAAAACGUUGGAAGUCCAACAUUGUCUUGAUCCCAUGCAUAUUAGGACAAAUGUUUUUGAAAGCUUAACAAGCUUGUUGUUGAACAUUCCUAAAAAAUCAAAGGAUGGGCUUAGUGUUCGAGAUGACAUGGUUGCAAUGGGAAUUCAGCCAAAGCUUGCUCUUAUUAAGAAAGAAAGAAGACGUACAUAUCUACCACCAGCUUGCUAUACAUUGUCUAAAGAUGAGAAAACAAAGUUUUGUAAAUGCCUACAUGGUAUCAAGGUGCCAUCUGGCUAUUCUGCAAACAUCAAGAAUUUGGUGUCAAUGAAAGACUUGAAAUUGAUUGGUAUGAAGUCACAUGAUUAUCAUGUUCUAAUCACACAUGUGAUUCCUAUUGCAAUUUGUGGAAUACUUCCGGACCAUGUCCGACAUACAAUAACAAAGCUUUGCUUGUUCUUCAACAUGAUUCAUUCGAAAGUGAUUGAUCCUGAAGUUUUGGACUCAUGGCAACAUGAUAUUAUCCUCACUCUCUGUGAACUUGAAAUGUACUUUCCACCUUCCUUUUUUGAUGUCAUGGUUCACCUUGUAUCCCAUAUUGUAAGAGAAAUAAAGGCUUGUGGUCCGGUGUUUCUGCGAUACAUGUACCCUUUCGAGAGAUAUAUGUGUGUCUUAAAAGGAUAUGUAAGGAACCGACAUCAACCAGAAGGCAGUAUUGUUAGAGGACAUGCUGCAGAGGAAGUGAUUGAGUUUUGUACAAACUAUCUCAAAGGAGUCAACACUAUUGGAAUACCGAAAUAACAUCAUGAAGGUAGACUUCAAGGAGUUGGUAUAAUUGGAUCGAAAGUGGUAAUUCCUGAUCGAGACGAAUUCCACAUGGCACACUUUAUAGUCCUGCAACACAUGACAUCUGUUGCUCCUUAUGCAAAGGAACACAUGGAAAUGUUACGAUCAAGAAAUAGUAGGAGGACCGAAAAAUGGUUGGCUAACGAGCAUAUUAAAAAAUUUCCACAAUGGUUGAAAGAUAAGGUGAAAUUAGGCUUAAGGACAAAAGAUGUUGAUAGAUUAGUGAAGGUGUUGGGGUAUGGUCCGCAAAAUGUUGUGUCAACAUAUCAAAGCUAUGACAUUAAUGGGUAUACGUUUUAUACCCAAAACCAGGAUAGAAAGAGCACACUACAAAAUAGUGGAGUGACGCUAAUAGCCAUGUCGACCGAAUACUCUAGUGCAAAUCAUGAGGGAAGGUCAUGUAUAGCCAAAGACUCGUAUUAUGGUGUCAUUCAAGAAAUUUGGGAAUUGAACUAUGAUUCCUCGGUUGUAGUACCCGUGUUCAAGUGUAAGUGGGUUGACAAUCGAAGAGGUGUUAAAGUUGAUGAAGACGGUUUCACACUUGUCAACCUUUCUACAAACGGUUAUGUAUCUGAACCAUUUAUUCUAGCUAAGCAAGCUAACCAAGUAUUCUUUGUUGAGGACCCAAUGGACACCAGAUGGCACAUUGUUCUUCAUGGUAAACGACGUAUACUCGGAGUUGAAAAUGUCGUGGACGAGGAAGAAUAUAACCAGUUUGACGACCUACCUCCAUUUUCUAUUGGUAUUCCAUCUAUGAAUGUCGAUAUUAAUGACGCUGCUUACUUAAGAUUGGACCAUAACAAAGGAUCAUAUGUUGAAGAAAGCAACACAGACGGACACGACACUGAAGGACAAUAACAGUGAUUGUUGUAGUUGAAGCAAUAUAGAAGGAGGUAUCAGGUACAUCAAAGAAGGAUUAGAGAAUUAAAAAGGACAAUAUGGUCAUUUUGGCAUAUCUUCCUCUGAGGAUUUUUGAUCAGCAGUCUCAAAAAAUUCUUAUAGUAAUUGUUGAUAGAAUUUUGAGUCAUGGAGUAGUUAAGCAUCACAAACUGUUGGGAUAACAAUUCUUUUCUCAAACAGUAAUUGGCUUUGCAGUUGUUAGAUAGAUGUGUUAAUUGCUUUGCUUAUUAUAUGUGUUGUGUUAUUUGCUUCUGUUAGAUUGAUAAAGUUAUUGAAAAGAUACUCUUUUUUUAUAUCCCAAUUGAAAGAAUUGGCAUCAAAGGGUGUGAAGCAAGUGGUGAGGUGAAAGAUGGUGUUGUGUUGAAAGUCGGUGGAUCCAUUCAAGAUUUGCAACAAAACUGAA